AAUGCUCAAACAAAUUAACUAAACUAAACUACAAGCAAACUUCCCGGUGAAGGACUCAGUUUCCUGCAGGUAGUGGAGAAAGGAAUGGGAUGGAGGGAAUAGUGGGAAUGGAGGGAAUACUUGGCAAGGGAGGCAAAGUGACUUUUGGGACAGUAGGGAUGGUGGGCAAGCUAGGAAGUGGAGGCAGAGUGAGAGCAGGCUGUGGGAGAGUUGGGACAGCUGGCAUUGGUGGAAGAGCAGGCUUUGGCAGGUUCGGCACCGAAGGCUAUGGAGGAGCUUGCAGGAGAUGACGAGCUGCUAAACCAACAUCCAUGCUUGAAAAUGGUAAGGCAAAAAAGAAGGCAAGAAUGAAGCAGUUGAAGGAGGCCAUUGUUAAAUUUGUAAAUCUUGAACAAAGGGGAACUUUAGUUAGAUGACAAAACAAGGUAUGGUUUCUAGCAAUAUUGUAUACCUGAGCUGCAGCCUCGAUUACUUGGUCUGGUCUCAUGGUAGGCGACUUGGACACCAUGAUUAGUUGGGAAAAGCUCCUCAGUCAUAUACUUAUGGCAGCUUGUUAGUUCACCUCCUCAUCAAAUUUCCACUCAGAUCUCAGAACACUAAGCGUUUUCAUAGCCAUGCAAGGAAGUCAAAAGAAUAUGGUAACCAGUAGGUUGAAUUCUAUUGCUUAGGCAAUCUAAGAUUGAGUUUUAAGGAAGCAACAUCAAACAACCUAAGUUAAACUAACAAGAUAACAGAAACGUGUUAACUAAUCUUAUAUAAUCUUAUGGGUACCUUGUCUUAACACAUUCAAAGCCUCAUAGAGCUCCUUUCUUCAAGAUAUCAAAAAUCUUCGUAGAGACAAAGUAUCCACUUCAAAAUGGCCUCUUUCAACGACUUCAUCCUUGUGCUUUUCAUUGCUUUUUCAUUUUCAAGCAUCAAUAUUGCUCUAGCAGCUCGCCAUCUUCUCCAGUUGUCACCUAUGCCUUCAGUGCCAAAUUUGCCGAACCCCACAGUGCCUCCUUUGCCUAAAGCAACAUUGCAACCAUUGCCUUCUUUGCCAACACUGCCAACUUUGCCAACCGCUCAACCAUCACUGCCUAAACCCACACUACCUCCUCUUCCUAGCCUACCAACCAUGCCCACUGCCCCCCAGGUCACUCUGCCUGCAGUGCCAAUCAUGCCCUCCAUCCCAACAAUCCCUACUACAAUUCCCUCCAUCCCGUUCCUCUCCCCACCACCUGGAAACUAGGUGCAGGUUUGUGUGUUCCCUAGUAGAAAGAGAUGACUAAUAUACUGUGCUUCGGUCUGCCAUCUAUGAGAAGUUUCCAUCUCUUUGCUUCAACAUUACUGAACCAUGCCUUGUUCUGAUAAUUCUCCUUCAAGCAUUGUACCUCUGUUUUCUUUGCUCUGAUCUCCCAUCUGCUAGAAGGUUGCAUCUGUUUGCUCCACCUGGUCGUAGCUAUUUGUGAGAUUGAAUUACUUGUUAAAAUAGCUUGCCUUCCAAAAUUGCAUACCUGUUUCUCCAUUAUGGACCGUGUGAAUUUCAUUGUAUCUCAGUACAUCAGUUAUAACAUAGAGUCAACAUUUUGAUGAUCUCUAAUACCAUAAUAUAUAUAUAUAUAUAUAUAUAUAUAUAUAUAUAUAUAUAUAUAUAUAUAUUGGUAAGUGCUCAAAACAGCGUACAGCAAGUAUUUUUACAUCUAAAAAGAUUAAAAAAAAAUGGCAGUGAAUGUGUUAAAAAGCAAAAGGUCCCCAUGUAGAAUCGAACUACAGCCCUUCAGUUUUAAAGACUGACGCUCUACCAUUGAGCUAUAGGGACUUGUCAGUCACUCAAUCCAUUUGAUACUUUAUUUGUAUGUAUGGGGCCAUUACAGAAGCAACAAAUUCCUGCACUUGAGACCCAUGGGAAAUACCCACUGCUACUUUGUCUUACAUUCAGGUUCCUCAAUCUGUAGCUGCCGAAAAUGAAGAGAUCUAUGAUAUUCCAGGGACUUGUUGGUAUUAUAUUCACCAUGAAGUUUUCUUUACCAACCAAUUACAGCAGUAUGCAGCUAUAAUAAAAAUAAAUGUUAUUUCCAUUCCAUGUCAUAUUUAUGCUUGAAAAGAUGAUAAAAAAAUAAAUGUUUAUGUAUACAACAGAUGUCCUAAUAAACAAGGCUCUGCUCAUUGCAACAGCAGUGUAGUUCCGUCCGCUAUAAUGUUUCUUUCAGAACAUCGGGAAGACAACAAAUUUAAAGCUCCCAACAGGCUUUGCUCCCUUGUUUGCUAUGAUAUCUCAUACUACCAAUAAAUAAAUAAACCAGAAACAGAGGUAACCAUGUGUGUUCACAUCUAAGACCAUAACACAGCCAAGAACAGGCCUCUGCUUCUACACUUGCUAUAAUAUCUUAUUUACCAUUGAAUAAAAGGACCACAAGCAGAGGCCUCCAUGUAUUUGUACUUCCAAGACAAUAAAAAAAUCAAAUAAAACAAAUAAAAAGAGGCACCCAUGUAUUAUAUGGAGGAGAAAAUACAGAAGCAAAAUGUCCCUAUGUAGAAUCGAACUACAGACCUUCAGUUUUAAAGACUGACGCUCUACCAUUGAGCUAUAAGGACUUGCUUCCCUUAUUCCCCAGGAUUUUUUAUUAUGUCAUUGAACGAUAUCAUGCAAAAAGUAAAAAACUGAUGUCCUUAAGUCCACAUAACAACAGAAGACUCCUAUAGAAAGAAACUUAACUAUUAGCCCCUUUAUCAAGAAUAACACUCUACCAUCAAGCUUUGGGGACUUAUUUGCUUCAGUAUUUAUUCUGCAACAACUUAUCAAUGGCUAGUGUAAUUGUAAUAAAUUAGAGGUUCAUGCUUGCAAUAAUUCAUUCUACCUAAGUUGCAUUACAAAAACAAACCUGCUGAAAAUAAUAAAAGCAAAAGGUUACUAUGUACAAUCAAGUUACAGCCGUUAGACUGAUGCUCUAACAUUGAGCUAGGACUUAUUUGCUUUAUUCCUUAGAAUGGUUAUCAUACCAUUUAAUACCACAGGUAACGCAAUCAUAUAACAUCAAAAUCAAAGCAAAAGAAAUCCUUCUGUUUAUUCAAGUAUCAAUUACACUAGCUACAUGAAACGAAUGGAUUCUACUUUCUCAAAUAGUCAAGUUUAAUUAGCUUUUAACCCUAUAAAUUUGGUUUGUUAAGGCUUGAUGAAAAUAGAGCUCCUGAGGAGUGAUUUAGCACUCCUUAUUGGUCAUAAGAAAGGGAAGGUUCCCAUGGCCUAUGGUUAGAUUCUAAUUUAGCCCCUUAUAUUAUCUAGACUAACAUCUAUCACCAAAUUACAGGGAGUUUGUACCCUGCAUUGACCAUAGUAUUUUAUUCUACCACAACUUGUCCACAGCUUUUCAGAUCAUAAAAGAAAAAGGGGAAAAAAGUGGUAAAAAUAUAAAAGCAAAAGGUCCCUAUGUAGAAUCGAACUACAGCCCUUCAGUUUUAAAGACUGAUGCUCUACCAUUGAGCUAUAGGGACUUCUGUGUCAAUGUUUCUGUGAUAUUUUAUUGUAACAUUGAUCUUUUGGGACCAUUAGAAAAGAAACUUUCUACAAUUGUAACAUCCCCGAGCAACUCUGUCUUAAAUCCAGGUUCCAGAAUCCGUAGAUGCAGACAAUGAAGAAAUGAGAAAAAAAGGUUCCCUUUAUGAACUUUAUGACUUGUAUGUAAUAUAUUCACUAGGAGGGCUUUUCUCCCCUAACAAUUAUAGCAUUAUGCAGCUAUAAUAGAAACAAAUGUUCCUCCAUGUGUUGUGUAAUCUUGUUAAGACAAUAAAUUUUGUUGUUAAACAGAAAAAAAAGGGUCUACUGCGCUGCGAGGUGUCUUCAUGAGUUGGCUAUGCUCUUUACAAGAGAUAGUGGGAGUUCUUCAAGUGUACCAUCUUCCCAUGAGAAUAGUGGAGACAAAAAAAACAUCACAACUCCCCAGCAGUUUGCUCCCUCCCCAUGUUUGCUAUCAUGCUAUUGUUAUCUUAUCCUACCAUCGGGUAAAUAAACCACAGACAAAGGUCAGGUACCAUGUGUGUUUCCAUCCAAGACUAUAACAAAAACCAAGAACAGACCACUGCUUACUACUCUCGCUGUGACAUCUUUUUCUAUCAUUGAUUAAAGGGACCACAUACAGAGGCCUCCAUUUAUUAGUACAUCUAAGGAAAAAUAUCAAAAGCCAUAAGGCACCCAUGUCAUUUAUGGAGGAAUAAGGAGAACAUGACAAAAGCAACAGUUCCCUACUCACCUCAUAGAAUCUAACAAUCAUACACUAAGAAAACAAAAGCAAUAGCAAUCUGUUGAGGCUUGGGUGAGAGAAAGUUAUUGUGAGUUUGGGCAAAUUAUUUGAGUGCUAUUUUUCAUAUUUGUUUUGUAAUUCUCCUAUUUUAUUAGUGAAUUUUUGCUCCCUUCGCCCGUGGAAAUAGACUUUUGCGGAAUCAUAUAAAUUUGUAUCGUCUGUUUUAUCGUGGUGUCAUAUUUUAUUCAUCCCAAAUAAAUAUUUUAGAUUUAGUUUUAACAUAAUCCUUCCGCUUAUUCAAGAAUCUAUUGCACUUGCAACAUGAAACAAAUGGGCUGUACUUUCUCAAAUAGAAAAAUUACCAAACUGACAUAUGCGAAUGUAACCAAAUGUUUCAUCGCAUGAUUGAAUACUCAUCAAGUCCAACCAGCAGAAAUCAAUGUAUUACCAACUAAUACCUCCUAUUUCCCAACAAAAAGGGAAGAACAAACCCAAAUUCUUCCAUGGUCCAUGAUUUAUAAUUUCACAGUUGAAACCGAAUAAGGAGUGGAAUAGCAGAAAUCAUGUAAUGUUAUAGAAAAUCCCAAUUGAAACCGAAUAACCCCAAAUUAUCUGCUUCAAAAAUUUUAAGGAAAAGAAAAUGAAACGAGAAAAUUACCGUGCUAGAACUGAAUUCAUAGAUUUUCAUUGCAAGUGUGAGUUUUGGCCAACACUUUCUCCGCAUCUUGGAUUUUCUCAUUUAUGUUAAAUUCCUCAUUAUUUCUUGUGUUCUCCUUUCGCGCCCUAACGUUAUCCCUUUCCAUUCCUCUCUUCUCUAGCUCAUCUUUUUAGCCAAAAUCUAAAAUCAGCGCCCAACAGUAGCCGAUUGAGUUUUCAGAACUGAAUCAUAUUCAUACUCGCGUUUAAUUAAGCCUUCAUGAUACUGAGGGAAAGAUUCGGCAGCGCUGCCAGGUGAUGGGUGAGUCGGAACCAGGGGAAAUUACAAGCUGAAGCAGUCGGACCACGUACACGUGAUUGCAUGCUACAAUAAACCAAUAAAAUUAAGGGUAAUUUACGAUUUAGUCCCUGGAUAUUACCAUUAUUAACAAGUCAAUCCCUGUAUUUUUAGAAACCUAUUAAAACGUCCUUAUGUUUUAUUUCCGUCAACGAAAUAGUCCUUCCGUCCUAUUUUCCGUUAAAAUUAGAUAAAGGAGGAGAGAGAAAAUUUUUAAAAUCCAAUUUUACCCUCAAAUAAAAUCAUUUAUUUAGUCCUUGUAUAUUACAAUUAUUAACAAGUUANNNNNNNNNNNNNNNNNNNNNNNNNNNNNNNNNNNNNNNNNNNNNNNNNNNNNNNNNNNNNNNNNNNNNNNNNNNNNNNNNNNNNNNNNNNNNNNNNNNNNNNNNNNNNNNNNNNNNNNNNNNNNNNNNNNNNNNNNNNNNNNNNNNNNNNNNNNNNNNNNNNNNNNNNNNNNNNNNNNNNNNNNNNNNNNNNNNNNNNNNNNNNNNNNNNNNNNNNNNNNNNNNNNNNNNNNNNNNNNNNNNNNNNNNNNNNNNNNNNAGGAGAAGAAGAAGAAGAAGAAGAAGAAGAAGAGAAAGAAGAAGAAGAAGAAGAAGGAGAAGAAGAAGAAGAAGAAGAAGGAGAAGAAUGAGAAGAAGAAGAAGAAGAGAAAGAAGAAAAAGAAGCAAAAGAAGAAGAAGGAGAAGAAGCAGAAGAAGAAGGAGAAGAAGGAGAAGAAGCAGAAGAAGCAGAAGAAGAAGGAGAAGAAGAAGCAGAAGAAGAAGGAGAAGAAGAAGCAGAAGAAGCUGAAGAAGAAUUGAUGAAGAAGAAAAGGAAGGAGGAGGAGAAGGAGAAAAAUAAUGGGGGGUAAUAUAGUCUUUUACUAUAUUUUUAACGGCAAAAAUAGACAGAAGGACUAUUUCGUUGACGGAGAGAAAACAUAAGGACGCUUUAAUAGGUUUCUAAAAAUACAGGGACUGACUUGUUAAUAAUGGUAAUACUCAGGGACUAAAUCGUAAAUUACCCUAAAAUUAAGGUUAAUAAAUUAAAAAAAAUAUAAUAAUUAAUUAAUAUUUUUUAAAAAAAAAAAACAUUUUUAUCAAAUAGCUCAGCUCUUAUUUAUUUGUCUUAUUAUGUAUCAUGUAAGGAUUCUAUAUGAUACAAUUAUUUACUGUAUAAUUUUUAAAAAAUGAGAGUCUAACAUGUGAAUUAAAAGUGAUUAUGUUAGGUUGAGAUAUUGGUUAAUUUUAAUUAUUAAAUAUAAUUAAAAAUAUUAAAAUAUCUUUAAUAAAUAGAUAAUAAUUAAUAAAUAUUUUUAUAAAUUAAAAAAUUAAUUAAUAAAUUUUUUUAUAUUGUAAAAAUUAAAUAACAAAAUAUUUAAUAGUUAAAACCUAAUGCAAAAACUAAGGAACCACUCAUUUUUUUCCUACUUGAAUUUAGAUUACUUGAUAUGGAGCAGUUAGCUUUGGACUUUACAGCAGAUUUGGACCGGGUCUAAUUUUUACUGCCGACAUCCGAUAGAGAUCCACGAUAGUUUUUCGAAAAGAGAAUUUCGAGACGUCAACUUUCAAAAGUGUAAUAAGGGCCGUAGGCCUGUCACAAAGUUCGACAUGAAAAUUUCAUCAUUUAGAAAAUCAAUUUUGUAGUUUAAUUAUUUUUUUAGAUAUUUUGGAUAUUUUCAUAAUUUUGCAUAUUAAGGUUUUAUUUCUAUUAUAAAUAGUAUCCCUUAGCUAUUAGAAAUACACUUUUUAAUUUUUGAGAAAUUUCAAUAAAAUUGUUAGUCUAUCAUCCUAUCUUUUUUCUUAUUUCAUUUUAUCCAAAUGAUAUUGGUUGAAACGUCUUACGGAAUCUAAAUAGUAUUUUAUCAUUACUACUUACUAGGAUUCAAAUCCUUGUAGCUCAAGAAACACUAAUCUUCUUUAAUCGCUAUAUGAACAUCACUUCAUCAUCACCUUCUUCAAUCUCUAGCCAUCAACCAGAAGCCUACUUCUUGUUCGUUGUGUUCAUCAACAUCAAGAUGCAGCUCCACCACCUUUUCAACUUUGGCACCAAAACUGUUCCAACCGAUACUGGAACCAUUCUAGAAGUCAAUCUCAUCUGCGCCCAAGACCUUGUUUUUCAUGUAAACCCUAAUCCAAGAUUGAAGCAAGAUUCAAGACUACGUGGUUGCUUAUAUUGAUCCUGACAAGAAGCUUAUAUUGUUGAUCGACAUAAUUAGAACAGUUAAAUUUGAGUUUUGAUAUGAUUUUUGCUAAAACUUAAAAUUUAAAUUAAAUUUUCGGUUCUUUUAUGUUUAGAAAUCAUAUUUAAAACUAAAUUUCAAUACAGUUGAUACGAUUUCUUAUUUUGAUUUUUUUUAAUUUUAACUUUAAUUCAAAUCUUAAUUUUUUAAAUAAAAUUAUAAUAUUAUUACAUUUAUUUUAAAAUAAUAAAUAACUAAUAUCAAAAUAAUAAUAAUAAAAAUAAUAAUAUUAAAAUUUUAAACAAUAUCAAUAUUCAUAUAUAUAAUUCUCACUAAAAAUAUUAUAUUAUUUUAUUUAUAAUUAUUAAUUAUAUAUUUUUAGUGUAAAAAUACAUAUAUAAUUAAUAUAUAAAGAUAUAUUAUAUUAUUAAUAUGUAAUUCACACAUAUAAUAUAAUUAAAAAUUAUAAAAUAAUUAAUAUAUUUAUAGUUGAAAUAACAAAUAUAUAUAUAUAUAAUCUAUUUAGAUAAAAUAAAUUAUGAUUAACUAAUUAAAUUAUUUAAAUCAUAUCAUUAGAACUAAUUAGAUUGUAUGAUUAUUUUAUAAUAUUUUUAGUAAGAGAGUGAGACAUAUUUAAAUUAUAUAAAUAAUUUAAUUUAUAAAUAUAGUUAAAUAGUAUUAAAUAUAAAAAUAAUCAAUGAGAGUGUACAUACAAGGAACUAAGUUUUUAUUAAGGUGGAAUAACUCUCAAAUAACUAUUUUAUUUAUACCUUUAUUUAUUUAUAAUUUUCUAUUAUAUAUUAUAUAGUAAUUUAUAAAAUUAAGAUUUAAAUUCAUUAAAUAAAAUUUUAUAAUUUUAAUAAUAUAAAUUAUAAAAUUAUAUUAAAAAUAUUUAAGAUAUAAAAUAUAUUACUGAAAUUACAUACUAUAAGAAUAAUAUCAUUAAAAUUAUUUAAAAAAAUAUAUAUAUAUAUAUAUAAUAUAGUUCUUAUAAGGAAUUAUGGCCAAAUAGUUAAAUAAGUUCGGUUCAGUUUUUAUAAUACUGAUUUUUUUUGGGUUAUGAUAUGAUUCGAUAUGGUUCUGUAUUCGAUUCGAGAUCUCAAAAAUUAUGCGAUUGAUACUUAUUUUCAUUCUAAAGAGACCGUAUAAUUGUGAUACUUCAAAUUCAAAUAUGAGUUUGGAUUAAAAGUAUUUUUUGAUAAAUUUGGCCUUACAUUAAUUACUCUCUAUUUUUUUUAAUCUUUUUCGAGCGUAACUCCACCAUUGUAAAUCCUGACCCAAAACCCAAAGACCCAACUGUCAUUUUCAAUAUAACUCUGAUUUUAAAUCGUAACUUUUUUAAUGUUUAUGGGGUAUAUAUAGCUUUAAAUUUUUUAAGCUAUUGUGGUUUACAAUUUUUUAUGUAAAACUGAAAAUUUUAGUAAAUUAUAUAUUUGGUUUACUAACUAUGUGAGUAUAUUUGUUAGUAGUAGAAACUAUAGUAAAUCUAUAAUUUGAAAUAAAAUUUUGUUAUUGUCAAAUAAGGGUUUUGUGAGAUAUUGAUUGUGUUGGUGUUUUGUAGUAGGAAUAGUGGGAAUUGAGGAAAUGCCUGCAACGGAAGCAAAAUGACAUUUGGGACAGUAGGGAUGGUGGGCAAAAGAAUUCAUAUAAUUAAUUCACAAAUACUUUAAGAUUAAAAAAUAAGUUCUCUUUAUCUUUAUAACAAAUUAACAAUUUUCCUUUCUAUAUAGAGUUAGUGGCGGUUUUCUAUUAGAAAAUUAAGUAAAUUCUGAUAAUUUACUAUAAACUUCUAAAAUAUUAAAUUCAGAAUUUAGAGUUCAUAGUUGAGAGAUGAAAUUUAUAUUUUUCAACCAAUGAGUUCUAUUUUAUUAGUAUUAGAGUCGUUUUCAAACCUGAGAUAUCUCAUAUUCGAAUCCAGUUGGAGUCAAUUGUAGAAAAAAAAAUAUGUUUUUCAAAUUUAUAAUAGAAGCAAAGGUAAAUAGAGAAAUCCAUGACUAGAAAAUGACAAUCACAACAUCAUCAAACCAUACAAAUAACUGUAGCCAAAGUACUCUGAAAUAAUAAAAAUAAUAAUUAACAAUUCUCAAACAAAUUAACUAAACUACAAGCAAACUUCCCAGUGAAGGACUCAGUUUCCUGCAGGUGGUGGAGAAAGGAAUGGGAUGGAGGGAAUAGUGGGGAUGGAGGGAAUAGUGGGAAUGGAGGGAAUACUUGGCAAGGGAGGCAAAGAGACUUUUGGGACGGUAGGGAUGGUGGGCAAGCUAGGAAGUGGAGGCAGAGUGAGAGCAGGCUGUGGGAGAGUUGGGACAGCUGGCAUUGGUGGAAGAGCAGGCUUUGGCAGGUUCGGCACCGAAGGCAAUGGAGGAGCUUGCAGGAGAUGACGAGCUGCUAAACCAACAUCCAUGCUUGAAAAUGGUAAGGCAAAAAAGAAGGCAAGAAUGAAGCAGUUGAAGGAGGCCAUUUUUAAAUUUGUA
rnacentral:lncRNA from 1 species